rnacentral:rRNA from 1 species
CCUACGGGAGGCAGCAGUGGGGAAUUUUGGACAAUGGGCGCAAGCCUGAUCCAGCCAUGCCGCGUGAGUGAAGAAGGCCUUCGGGUUGUAAAGCUCUUUCGGCGGGGAAGAAAAGGUUCGUGCUAAUACCACGAACUAAUGACGGUACCCGAAGAAGAAGCACCGGCUAACUACGUGCCAGCAGCCGCGGUAAUACGUAGGGUGCAGGCGUUAAUCGGAAUUACUGGGCGUAAAGCGUGCGCAGGCGGUUUGUUAAGACAGAUGUGAAAUCCCCGGGCUUAACCUGGGAACUGCGUUUGUAACUGGCAAGCUAGAGUGUGGCAGAGGGGGGUGGAAUUCCAAGUGUAGCAGUGAAAUGCGUAGAUAUUUGGAGGAACACCGAUGGCGAAGGCAGCCCCCUGGGCUAACACUGACGCUCAUGCACGAAAGCGUGGGGAGCAAACAGGAUUAGAUACCCUGGUAGUCCACGCCCUAAACUAUGCCAAUUGGUUGUCGGGGAAGCAAUUCCUUGGUAACGAAGCUAACGCGUGAAGUUGACCGCCUGGGGAGUACGGCCGCAAGGUUAAACUCAAAGGAAUUGACGG